GUCCAUGAUCCCCCGUCACUCCUUCUUUCUCUUGACUCACCGUUCUCCAUGUGGCCCUACCUAGGGUGCUGUGCCUCCUGUUAUUAGGUAUCUAUAUAUAUUCUGCAAUCAUGACCAAACAGAAGGACUAAAUCUGGAUCAGAAUCUGAAAUGUAAAAAGGCUACUUGUCAACCACACCAUUGUUUUCUGUUGGAGCUAGCAGAGCAGCCUCGGCUGCACAUUCCUGGGACGUGAAUAAUAUCGGUUGUGAUUACACUUCAGUAUCUCAUCCAUUACCAGCCCUGUGAACACUGAAUAUAACCUAAUUAGGAAAUGUGAAAGGCCCUUUGCUAGGGAUGAGUGCUGGGGCAGCAGAGGUCCACAUGCCUUCCCGACACAGGGAUUCACUGAGUUUCACACACAGGUUUGGAUCCUGCAGGGCUCAAGGACAGACUUUACUGGUCUAGUCCACAUUCCUCGUAUAAUCACCAGUAAGCUGAGAAUGUGACACCUUGGAUUCCAUCCUAUGUUAUGCUCCUCUUUAAAUGCAUUGCAAAGGAGAUAUGCCAAGACUGAUAAGUCAGUCAAUUUCAAAUAGGCAUUAAAGUAUUAAUGAAGUGAUUAACUCCCUCUAACACAUUUUUUUGUUUACUAGUUGCUACUGGCCUUGAAUAGGAAUUUCGAAUUUGUUGUUGACAAUUGGCUUCUCAUCUUUCACUGAAUUCUUCUAAGCUUGUCUUUUCCUACACAGCUCUUCAAAUGCUUUCAGAGGACUGCAUUCUGUCUUCCAAAGUGCAGAGAGCAGAGCACUAAGGAUGUCUGCAGGCUUAAUUACAAAGGAUGUGAUUCUGUUAUUCUUAUGCCAUAACUUUUCUUUGCAGUAAAAGCUGCUGCAUUCAUUUAUUCAAUCCUAUGUCCCUGCAUUCACCUGACACUUGCUGAGCACCUGCUAUAGUCAGAUUCACCUCAUGCCCAUGGUGCUCUGGCAUCCUGCAUUUAUAGGGUAACUGGCAGGAGAAAAGAAGAGGCCUGUGGCCAUAAGGCAGUGAGAUGGAGUCAUCUGCUCUGGGAGUUAGCACCCUGCCACCCACACAGAACCCAGCCAACUGAGCUAACUGAUAAGUCAACCUUAAUUCUGCUCUAAAUUAUUUUUCAUCAAACCACCCUCUGCUGAAUCAAUGUACAUUCCUAUAACCUGUAUCUUGCCCUGGUAAUGUGUGAACUUCAAUGUCAUGGUCCAAGGUUUUGCUGCUGGGACAUGUGGUCUCAGGAUGAUCAUCAGAAUCCUUCACUAGAUGCUCUAAACCAUCACUAGAUGCUCUACAGUUUGCCACUUGUUUCCAAGUGUCCUAUGUCCACCUCAUUUUACAGAACUGGGCUUCCCUUGAGUUCUCAUUCUGGGUACCUAGUCUAUUUCCCUGCAAUUCUUAUUGCUGGGUUCUCUCCUCAGGGAAUGGAGCCUGGCUUUGGUAUAGAUUUCCAUGAAGUACUAGGAUUCCAGAUGGCGCCCACUCAAUUUUGUUCACCCAGCUCUGACCAUGAGUGAACCCUUCUGUAACUUCUGCCUUCUAACCUGGUGUUUGCCUGCAUUGUAUCUGGACAUUGCUCAGUUGCCUUGGUUGCUGUGCCCCACCUGCUUGUCUGAACUUCUGUUGUUACUCCAGUCCCCGCCUGUCCCUGCAGCUCCACACUCACUCCCACCCCCAUUUGUGUUAAUGUCAAUGCCUUACUGAAAAAUCUUGAAAUGUGAUAGGGAAGAUAGUGGUGGCAUUGUUACUACUACUAUUACCUUACCAUUUGGAAAACUGAGGCUCAGAGGAUUAAGUGACUUGGCCAAUUACUUGUCUAAUAAAGAGCAGACCCCUGUCUCUAAUAGUUUGCUCUUUGCCCAAAUCCAUGCUGUUUGCUCUGAAAAGUCUUAUGAGUAGCUUUGACAAUUAGAUGCUUUACAAAGGUAAAGAAUACACAGGAUAUAAAGGUUUUAUUGUUUUUAUGAGCAGCACGUGGGCUUUCUCCAGUAUGUAGCAACGCAUUUCUUCUGUUGCUAACCAGGUCUUUGAAACAUAAAAGCUUUUGCUUCAUUCUCAGAUGAAGCUUGCACGUGGGCGGGAAAUUUUGACAAUGUCUACAGGUGCCAGUGUGAACAAGUCUAAAACUUCAUUUGUGGUUAUUUAGAAUGGAAGCCUCAUUUCUAAACAGAUAAUGCUAUAAAAGGUGGUUAGAUUCUUGGGCUAGCUCACAAAAGCAGUUUAACUAAUAAUGCAGCUGGAGUACAUUUCUAAUUCAUAAGAUAGCUGAAGUAAUGUAUAUGUUAUGCUCUUGCAACAUAAUAAUCAAGGCUCUGAUUAAUUAAGGAAUGUGUAUUUGGAGUCCUGGUCUCUGUAGAACUGUCUCCUGACAGCAGCAGUGAUUUCACCACUAUUGGCUCCAGAGUGCUUAGGGGUUGCUGGGAAAUUUUCCUGAAGUUUCAUAGCCCAGAGAGCUAGUUUGUUAGGUGGGAAGUCAGAAGUUACUCUAAAGAGAAGUCAGGAGUUUUUGGGAAAAAAAAAAAAAAA